GUGAAUCAUCGAAUUUUUGAACGCAAAUUGCACUCUCCUCGGAGAGUAUGCCUGUUUGAGGGUCAGCCUAUAAAAAUCGACAUUGUUGCUGUUUUAUGGUGACUUUCGUCGGAGGUGGGUUAUCUUAAAUCUCGGUUUAAGCGACUUAAAAAUUUUUUUAAGAUUUUAUGAAUGUUUUUAAGAGUUUUUAUGUUCGUUUUAUUUGUCUAAUGUUUUUGUAAACGUGG
rnacentral:misc_RNA from 1 species